UACGAAGGGGGCUAGCGUUGUUCGGAUUUACUGGGCGUAAAGCGCACGUAGGCGGUUUGUUAAGUCAGGGGUGAAAUCCCACAGCUCAACUGUGGAACUGCCUUUGAUACUGGCAAGCUAGAGUCCGGAAGAGGUAAGUGGAACUCCUAGUGUAGAGGUGGAAUUCGUAGAUAUUAGGAAGAACACCCGUGGCGAAGGCGGUUCUCUGGGACGGUACUGACGCUGAGACGCGAAAGCGUGGGGAGCGAACAGG
rnacentral:rRNA from 1 species